rnacentral:rRNA from 1 species
GACGAACGCUGGCGGCGUGCUUAACACAUGCAAGUCGAACGGAAAGGCCCUGCUCUUGUGGGGUGCUCGAGUGGCGCACGGGUGAGUAACACGUGAGUAACCUGCCCUUGACUUUGGGAUAACUUCAGGAAACUGGGGCUAAUACCGGAUAGGAGCUCCUGCUGCAUGGUGGGGGUUGGAAAGUUUCGGCGGUUGGGGAUGGACUAGCGGCUUAUCAGCUUGUUGGUGGGGUAGUGGCUUACCAAGCCUUUGACGGGUAGCCGGCCUGAGAGGGUGACCGGCCACAUUGGGACUGAGAUACGGCCCAGACUCCUACGGGAGGCAGCAGUGGGGAAUAUUGCACAAUGGGCGGAAGCCUGAUGCAGCAACGCCGCGUGCGGGAUGACGGCCUUCGGGUUGUAAACCGCUUUCGCCUGUGACGAAGCGUGAGUGACGGUAAUGGGUAAAGAAGCACCGGCUAACUACGUG